rnacentral:lncRNA from 1 species
AAUAGCAUUUAAAUUAAUUGCAUAAUUAAUAAAGAAAAUGGAAAAUAUCUAUCUUCAUCUUUUGGACUCGCCAACGGUCAGAAAGGAGAGAAACGAAAACUCUCUCACACUCCAACGUCUCUCUCUGAGCCAAAAAGGACAAAAAGAAAAAUAAUAAAGACUCUAACAGAUAAAAACAAAAAAGAUAUCCCUCACGUCCUUCUCUCUGCUGCAUCAAGAAAAAGAAGAAGCUUAGAGUUUUUUAAGAAAAAAAUAAAAGAGUUCUCAUUGUGGAGGCACAUACACACUCAUAUUACAUAACUCUCUCCGCUGUAACUUCAUAAAAUCUUCCUUCACCCUACUCCAUCUUCAAAGUUAUACACUUUCUUUCUCUCAUAUCCAAGUCCCUCAUUCUCUACCAUAUACCAUUUCUUCUUCCCUUCAAAAGAACAAAACCUCCUGCUACUUCAUUCCAAGUUCCAUCAACACACAAACCACAAACUUCUCCCUCCAUCUGCAAAGUGCAUACUCACCACCUUACAUCAUCUUCUCAUCGAUCUAACACUCACAAUCUAACCAACAUCCACCUACAUAAAACAACACAACGACAUACCAUUAUUCAUCCGCAAACCCUCACGCAAUCCUCACGUAAAUUCCAAAUGCAUCGUCUGCUAUAGUGCGCAAAUCGCCACGAGGUCGCCGAGCCACCACUUCAAGAUACAGUUUCGUCACCGAAAAAUCAUGAGCCACCACUUCAGCGACUAUUUCAG